UUCAACACUCGGAGCACCCUCGCCACUGCUCGCCGUCGCGUCCGACCUUCCGCACCGCCGUCCAUCCCGCCGAUUAAGUUGGUGAUUGAGAGGAGGAGGAAAAGAAGAUAUGCCUCAUAGAUCGCGGCCCAUGACAGCGCUGCUGGUGUUCACGGGAGUGAACCUGGCUCUCUUCAACACCAUCACUCCCGUUUAUGACUUCGUCUGCUUCCAUCCCUACUGGGAACGGAGGAGAGAACGACGUAGAAAGGAGCGUGAGGCUGCUUUAGCAAAAGGUUCUUAAACCACUUAGGAGCUGCUCUUAUCAGGUAUUGAUGCUGAUUUGUUAAAUUAUCUAUCCAUAUGAAAGCCAACAUAGUGGUUCAGUUGACAGAAUACUACGGCGUCAUUGGGGCGAAGGGAAUUACAGUAAUUGGUAUAAUUCCACAAAUUGAAUCACCCAUGAUUGGUGACUUCGCUGUCAGGAGAUGUUACCAGAACUCUGUGUUGUACUUUUAAUUCCCUUUGCAAGUCAUUAAGUAAAUGAGAAUCUGUUCUUUGUCAAAGAUGGCUUUCAAGUUGCCAGAAUAUGUAUAUUUUAGAUAAAUAAAUGUACUUUUUUAUAUACCAAAUAUGCUGCUUAAAUUGUCUUCA